GACGAACGCUGGCGGCGUGCUUAACACAUGCAAGUCGAACGGAAAGGCCCUGCUUUUGUGUGGUGCUCGAGUGGCGAACGGGUGAGUAACACGUGAGUAACCUGCCCUUGUCUUUGGGAUAACUUCAGGAAACUGGGGCUAAUACCCGAUAGGAGCUCCUGCUGCAUGGUGUGGGUUGGAAAGUUUCGGCGGUUGGGGAUGGACUCGCGGCUUAUCCGCUUGUUGGUGGGGUAGUGGCUUACCAAGGCUUUGACGGGUAGCCGGCCUGAGAGGGUGACCGGCCACAUUGGGACUGAGAGAGGGCCCAGACUCCUACGGGAGGCAGCAGUGGGGAAUAUUGCACAAUGGGCGGAAGCCUGAUGCAGCAACGCCGCGUGCGGGAUGACGGCCUUCGGGUUGUAAACCGCUUUCGCAUGUGACGAAGCGUGAGUGACGGUAAUGGGUAAAGAAGCACCGGCUAACUACGUG
rnacentral:rRNA from 1 species